GCCCCGAAGCACCCGCCCCGAGGGCCGCGCUUCGCGGCCGCCGCGCCGCCCUUCGCAGGGGCGCGGUGCCAGGUGCGGCCGCCGCGAGGAAAAUGGAACCGUGAGCCCGCCCGAGCUGCAGGCGCCCGAGGUGGACCUCUCUUAACGUUUACUGAAACAAUAUCUGAGUGAUGUCAUACCUUUUGGGAAAGUCACACCCGUUUCAUGUAGACUCAGCUACAAUAGAGUUAGAGGAUGUUGUAAUGGUUGAAAGGGUACUCUGGAAUCAGACUUGCUGGAUUUGAUCCCAUUUCUACAUCACUGCUACCUCAAGAAGUUCCUUCACAUUGCUGUGCCUCAGUUUUCUCAUCUUUAACAGAAAUUUUCAGAAAGAAGAUCAUAGAUUCCUCACAUGUGGUGACUGGCCAGACAGACCAGUACGUAGACCCUACUGUAAACAAAGCAAAGAAACAGAUAAGACACAGCAGAGUUACUACUGACUUGUCUAUAUAUUUGACAUAUAACAUACCUUUAUUUCCAUUCCUCAAGAGCAACAUGGUCUGCCUUGUGAUACUACAGUUGAACAGAGCACAUGGGUUUGAAUUGCACAGGUCCUUUUAUGUGGAUUUUCUUUUGAUAAAUACAGUACAGUGCAGUAAACAUAUUUUCUCUUCUUUAUACUUUAAUUAACAAUAGUUUCUUUUCGGGCCACCUGGGUGGUUCAGCCGUUAAACGUCUGCCUUUGGCUCAGGUCAUAAUCCCAGGGUCCUAAAAUUGAGCC